AUGGUCAAGCAUUUGACAUACUGCCUGUCAUAGGCUUUCUACAAUACAGCCUUUAACAAAACUAGGUUGUCUGGAAUCCCUGGUAAUAGAAUUGUUUACCUUUAUACCAACAAAGUUGGGAAAGCACCAAAAUCUGCAGGUGGCAUGUGCCCAUGCAGACUUCAAGGGGUUUGUGUUGUGAGAUCUAAUAUUGUUACGUGAAUGUCCAAAACAAAAAAAAACAUGUCAGCAGAGCCUAUGGUGGUUCCAUGUGUGUUAAAUGUGAUCAUGACAGGAUUAAGCAUGCUUUCCUUAUCAAGGAACAGAAAAUCAUGGUGAAAGUGUUGAAGGCACAAGCACAGAGUCAGAGAGCUAA
rnacentral:lncRNA from 1 species